GAUGAACGCUGGCGGCGUGCCUAAUACAUGCAAGUCAGCGAACAGACGAGGAGCUUGCUCCUCUGACGUUAGCGGCGGACGGGUGAGUAACACGUGGAUAACCUACCUAUAAGACUGGGAUAACUUCGGGAAACCGGAGCUAAUACCGGAUAAUAUAUUGAACCGCAUGGUUCAAUAGUGAAAGACGGUUUUGCUGUCACUUAUAGAUGGAUCCGCGCCGCAUUAGCUAGUUGGUAAGGUAACGGCUUACCAAGGCAACGAUGCGUAGCCGACCUGAGAGGGUGAUCGGCCACACUGGAACUGAGACACGGUCCAGACUCCUACGGGAGGCAGCAGUAGGGAAUCUUCCGCAAUGGGCGAAAGCCUGACGGAGCAACGCCGCGUGAGUGAUGAAGGUCUUCGGAUCGUAAAACUCUGUUAUUAGGGAAGAACAAAUGUGUAAGUAACUAUGCACGUCUUGACGGUACCUAAUCAGAAAGCCACGGCUAACUACGUG
rnacentral:rRNA from 1 species